rnacentral:rRNA from 1 species
UGGGGAAUAUUGGACAAUGGGCGCAAGCCUGAUCCAGCAAUGCCGCGUGUGUGAAGAAGGCCUUCGGGUUGUAAACCUCUUUCGACCUCGACGAAGCCUUUUGGGGUGACGGUAGGGGUGGAAGAAGCACCGGCCAACUACGUGCCAGCAGCCGCGGUAAUACGUAGGGUGCGAGCGUUGUCCGGAAUUAUUGGGCGUAAAGCGUGAGUAGGUGGUUUCUUAAGUCUGCUGUGAAAGCCCCGGGCUCAACCUGGGAAUUGCAGUGGAUACUGGGGAGCUAGAGUGCGGUAGAGGGUAGUGGAAUUCCCGGUGUAGCGGUGAAAUGCGUAGAUAUGCGGAGGAACACCGAUGGCGAAGGCAAUCACCUGGGCCUGCACUGACGCUCAUGCACGAAAGCGUGGGGAGCAAACA